UACGUAGGUGGCAAGCGUUGUCCGGAAUUAUUGGGCGUAAAGCGCGCGCAGGUGGUUUCUUAAGUCUGAUGUGAAAGCCCACGGCUCAACCGUGGAGGGUCAUUGGAAACUGGGGAACUUGAGUGCAGAAGAGGAAAGUGGAAUUCCAAGUGUAGCGGUGAAAUGCGUAGAGAUUUGGAGGAACACCAGUGGCGAAGGCGACACGCUGGGCCGUACUGACGCUAAAGCGCGACAGCAUGGGGAGCAAACGGG
rnacentral:rRNA from 1 species